CCUAGCAGCCCUAAAAGAGUGGUGACUCAAAAAUUGGUCUUGUGGGUUGAUUGGAAACUUAAACAACUUGUGUAAUCCAUCUUUUUACUACAAAUCCAAGCAUUGCUUGUGGAAGAGGAAGCUUCUCGGAAA